rnacentral:rRNA from 1 species
CAGCCGCGGGAAUACGUAGGGUGCAAGCGUUAAUCGGAAUUACUGGGCGUAAAGCGUGCGCAGGCGGUUAUAUAAGACAGAUGUGAAAUCCCCGGGCUCAACCUGGGAACUGCAUUUGUGACUGUAUAGCUAGAGUACGGCAGAGGGGGAUGGAAUUCCGCGUGUAGCAGUGAAAUGCGUAGAUAUGCGGAGGAACACCGAUGGCGAAGGCAAUCCCCUGGGCCUGUACUGACGCUCAUGCACGAAAGCGUGGGGAGCAAACAGGAUUAGAUACCCCAGUAGUCCCUGUCUCUUAUACACC